rnacentral:piRNA from 1 species
UGGAAAAGCUUAUUCCAUAUACAGGUUGCAU